ACAGCGUAUGUAAAAUCAUUUAUUGGUUGAGGACGUAUUAUAGUUGACAUGGCCUUUCUAGCAGGCUUGGUGGUUAAUAUUAACAGUACAGCUUCCUACUUCCUCUACUCUUUAGUCUCAGACAUGGAGCUUCACCAUUCAAAAAAAAAUAAUCAAAAUCAUCUUUACAUUUACUUGAUACACACAGGUGUUUGUGUGUGUGUGUGACGGUGUGGAAUGUGUGUGAGGGUUAAACAUUAUGAGAUGGUCAACUAUAACAAUAUACAUGAUUAAGAUCAGAUUAUGGACAGAGCAGAGCACAGAGCCAGGUUACUAUAGCCUGGGUUAUACCCUAUGGGCCCUGGUCAACAGGAAGCACACCAUAUAAGGAACAGGGAACCAUUUGGGAUUCAGACAUUAUAGUUAAGCAGACAGCAUCACUCCAAAUAACCUUAGUCAGCCAAUCACAUCGCUCUAUCCCACCCACAGAAUCAAGGCUGACUAACUGGCUGGUUCACCAGAUGUGAUUAAGAAACUAAACACGAGCAUCGUAUUGGUCCAGACAAACCACAUGAUCUCAACACGAGGACUUCCUACUCCAGAUUACCACAUUAACAACACACAGGACCAGUUUCCGGGACACAGAUUCAGCAGUUUUGGUCCAGUAGGAUUCAUGUGAGUCCAGGAGGCCAGCCUGUAAUUAAGCAAUAAGGCACGGAGAGGGGGUGGUAUAGUGCCAAUAUACCACAGCUAAGGGCUGUUCUUAUGCACGACGCAGCGUGGAGUGCCUUGACACAGCCCUUAGCCGUGGUAUAUUGGCCAUAUAAACCCCCGAGGUGCCUUAUUGCUAUUAGAAACUGGUUACCAAUGUAAUUAAAGCAGUACAAAUUAAAUGUUGUGUCAUACCCGUGGUAUACGGUCUGAUGUACCACGGCUGUCAGCCAAUCAGCAUUCAGGGCUUGAACCACCCAGUUUGUAAUUCUCUAUAAAUGGUGAGUGUCAACAUCAGGCUGUAUUUUGUCUGUUUUACAGCAGGCUAGUGUUCUCCGGAGAAUCCAGCUGAGUUUAACACAGCAUGCUGGUUUUCUUCCAUAGUGAGUAGCAUGCCAGGGCUAGGAGCCGGUUCCAGACCACUGUGUGUGUGUGUGGUGUGUUGCUCUCUCCUGUGUCUCUCUCAUUACCAUGACAUUCCUUCACACAGACACUUGACGGCCAUCUUUCCUUGUUCCAUCGCCAUAAGCAACAACAGCCCAGCAGAGAGAAGGAACACAGUGCACAUCAAAAAUGACGACAUUGUACUCUUACUCUCGACAUUGUAUUCUUCAAAUUAAAAAAACAAGUGUAAUGAACCCAGAUGUUGUUUUCUGUCUAAUCUAACCUACUCUCUGACAGGAUAUGUGUAAUCUAAAGAGAAUAUAGUGACAUGGAGUGGCAUCUCCUCACAAGUCCAGUAUGUAUGUAAGCGCUGCAUAUUAGUCUUUGGCAUGGUUCAGUAUCGGAGAAGCCCAUUGGUUGAGCUGACGUUCACGCCAGACCAAUAACAGGAGAGCAGAAGAUCAGGUCAAUGCUUCAUCGUCGUGGAUUAAAAACCUCGUAUUUACCUGGUUAAAUAACAUCCACAUACGUUUCCCAGUGACAUAGAGGGACAUAAAAUAAAACCAUUAAAUCGGAGUCUGAAUCGAUUUAGAAAAAAAAACUGUUUUGAUUGAAAGAGAUCCACCGUAUUAUCAAUUGUAAGACUUUAAUUCUUUAAGACUUUAAAUUCUUUACGACAGUAUUAAGACAUCUAUAAACGUUCUUCAGGGCUUGAGACUUUUUCAGAGAGAGGCAGCUGUUCUCAUACACUCCUCAGAGUACACUACAGCUGCACCAACCCACCACAUCCACCCCAGGAGGUUAAACAGACAGCCCUACCAGGACAAUCCACCCCAGGAGGUUAAACAGAUAGCCCUACCAGGACAAUCCACCCCAGGAGGUUAAACAGACAGCCCUACCAGGACAACCCACCACAUCCACCCCAGGAGGUUAAACAGACAGCCCUACCAGGACAACCCACCACAUCCACCCCAGGAGGUUAACAGACGGCCCUACCAGGACAACCCACCACAUCCACCCCAGGAGGUUAACAGACAGCCCUACCAGGACAACCCACCACAUCCACCCCAGGAGGUUAACAGACAGCCCUACCAGGACAACCCACCACAUCCACCCCAGGAGGUUAAACAGACAGCCCUACCAGGACAAUCCACCCCAGGAGGUUAAACAGACAGCCCUACCAGGACAAUCCACCCCAGGAGGUUAAACAGACAGCCCUACCAGGACAACCCACCACAUCCACCCCAGGAGGUUAAACAGACAGCUCUACCAGGACAACCCACCACAUCCACCCCAGGAGGUUAACAGACAGCCCUACCAGGACAACCCACCACAUCCACCCCAGGAGGUUAACAGACAGCCCUACCAGGACAACCCACCACAUCCACCCCAGGAGGUUAACAGACAGCCCUACCAGGACAACCCACCACAUCCACCCCAGGAGGUUAACAGACAGCCCUACCAGGACAACCCACCACAUCCACCCCAGGAGGUUAAACAGACAGCCCUACCAGGACAACCCACCACAUCCACCCCAGGAGGUUAACAGACAGCCCUAACAGGACAACCCACCACAUCCACCCCAGGAGGUUAAAUAGACAGCCCUACCAGGACAACCCACCACAUCCACCCCAGGAGGUUAACAGACAGCCCUACCAGGACAACCCACCACAUCCACCCCAGGAGGUUAAACAGACAGCCCUACCAGGACAACCCACCACAUCCACCCCAGGAGGUUAAACAGACAGCCCUACCAGGACAACCCACCACAUCCACCCCAGGAGGUUAAACAGACAGCCCUACCAGGACAACCCACCACAUCCACCCCAGGAGGUUAAACAGACAGCCCUACCAGGACAACCCACCACAUCCACCCCAGGAGGUUAAACAGACAGCCCUACCAGGACAACCCACUACAUCCACCCCAGGAGGUUAAACAGACAGCCCUACCAGGACAACCCACCACAUCCACCCCAGGAGGUUAAACAGACAGCCCUACCAUCACAUCAACCUCUCUCUUCCCCCUGUGUAGGAAGCACUGAUCAGAACCAAGAGCUUUCAGAACCAAGAGAUACAGCAGUCUAGCUAGGGAGGCCUGUCCCGUACCACUGUAGGGGUUGGAGGUCAGGGCCUUAUACCACUGUAGGGUUAGAGGUCAGAGGUUAGGAUAGUAUGUUUAAAACCAUGGUUACUUGGUUAGAUUACAGUACUGUUCAUGUUGCUCUAAACACAGUAAAAAAAAAA